GGUGGGUGCAGGAGAAAGAGAGACUGUGUGUGUGUGAGUGGAUAUUAAGCAGAGGGAGAGUUGUGUGAACCUCACAGCUGAAGGUAAGAUCAACAUCUUGUUCUCUGCAGUGAUGGUGUGGUAUCAUGGCUUGUUCAACCAAGGGGCCACAUGUUACCUGAACAGUGUGCUGCAGGUGCUGUUCAUGACCAGAGACUUCAGAGAGGCUGUGGAAAAGUGCACCCCUGAUAACACUGACACCAAGUGUAUUGAUCAUCAACUCAAAGACGUGUUUGUAAGGUUACUGAAACAAACAGCACACACUGAUGAAAUCACACGGAAGCUGGGMAUYG